GGACGCCUGGGCCCCGCUGGGGCCGCCCCGCCCGGCGCCCGGGGCGCUUCCGCGUGCUGGGACCGGCCGCGGGGGGAGCCGAUCCCCGGGACCCGCCGGGAUCUGCCGGGAUCCGCCGGGGGGAGGCGGCCCCGGUCGCGGAGCCUCCCCGGGAUCGGGAUGUGCCACGGCAGGGAUCGCACCCCGCUCCAGGGGAUCUGCUGGAGGGGCUCCCCGCUGCCCAGCGCCCGCUGGGAUCCGGCCUCCAUCUAGGACCCCCCCCCCCGGAGCUGCCCCCCAUGGCAGGAGCCCCGUGCCUGGCCCUGGCCCUGGCCCUGCCCUGCCUGGCCCUGGCCCAGACGUCUCCCAGUAUGACCAGUAACAGCACGACGGCUGGCGGCGGCGGGGGCCUCUCGGUGAGUGGG